rnacentral:rRNA from 1 species
AUGAGCACCACCGAGGGAAAGCCGGACGCCGAUGCGGUGGAGGAGAUGGCGCGGGAGGCGGCGGCGUGGUGCGCGAUGCACGGGCUCGUCGUCGGGGACCGCGCGGACCCGAGAUCAGGAACAGUUCCUGGGGUUGGGUUGGUCCACGCUCCAAUCUCCUUGCUCCCGUCGCGUCUCCCGGAGUCCUUCUGGAGCCAGGCGUGCGAGCUGGCCCCGCUUUUCAACGAGCUCGUGGAUCGUGUUAGCUUGGAUGGGGAUUUCUUGCAGGAUUCCUUGUCCAAAACAAGGCAGGUUGAUGAUUUCACUUCCAGGCUCUUAGAUAUUCACAGGAAGAUGAUGGAUGCAAACAAGAAGGAGAAUAUUCGACUGGGGCUGCACCGAUCAGAUUAUAUGCUGGAUUCAGAAACCAAUUCUCUUCUCCAAAUAGAGCUCAACACUAUUUCAGUAUCUUUUCCUGGGCUUUGUUCUAUAGUGACUGAGCUUCACAGGACCUUGAUCAAUCAGUAUGGAAAUUUAUUAUGUCUAGAUGCCAAAAGGGUUCCUGGAAAUGAGGCAAGCCGUCAAUUUGCUAAAGCAUUGGCCAAAGCAUGGGAUGAGUUUAAUGUUGACAGUGCUGUAGUUAUGAUGAUUGUUCAGCCCGAAGAAAGAAAUAUGUAUGACCAAUACUGGCUUGUCAAAUAUUUGAGGGAAUCACAUGGCGUAACAACUAUUAGGAAAACCUUGUCAGAGGUGGAGGCUGAAGGCCGGGUUCUCCCUGAUGGAACUCUUGUUGUAAAUGACAGGAAGGUCACUGUGGUGUAUUUUAGAGCUGGCUAUACACCAAACGAUUAUCCUUCAGAAGCAGAAUGGAGUGCAAGGCUUUUGAUGGAACAAUCAUCUGCUGUGAAGUGUCCUUCAAUAUCAUAUCAUUUAGUGGGGACCAAGAAGAUUCAACAAGAACUAGCAAAACCUAAUGUGCUUGAAAGGUUUCUUGAAAAUAAGGAGGAAAUUGCCAAGCUCCGCCAAUGCUUUGCAGGGCUAUGGAGCUUGGAUGAUGAAGAGGUUGUCAAAUCUGCGAUUGAAAACCCUGACUUGUUUGUCUUGAAGCCUCAACGUGAAGGCGGAGGUAACAACAUAUACGGUCUUGAUGUGCGAGAAGCUCUGAUCAGACUCAAGAAGGAAGGAGGAGAUGCUCUCUCAGCCUACAUACUGAUGCAAAGAAUCUUUCCCAAAGCAUCUCUCGCUAGUCUGGUCCGUGGUGGUGUUUGCCAUGAGGCCCUCACAGUAUCUGAGCUUGGGAUAUAUGGAGCCUACCUGCGGAACAAAGAUAAGGUGAUCAUCAAUGAUAAGUGUGGUUACUUGAUGCGAACAAAAGUUUCUUCUUCGGAUGAAGGCGGUGUUGCUGCAGGAUUUGCUGUUUUGGACAGCUUAUACCUGACCGACAAGUGA